UACGGAGGAUGCGAGCGUUAUCCGGAUUUAUUGGGUUUAAAGGGUGCGCAGGCGGAUUUUUAAGUCAGCGGUCAAAUCGUGGGGCUCAACCCCAUCCAGCCGUUGAAACUGGGGAUCUAGAGUGUGCGAGAGGUAUGCGGAAUGCGUGGUGUAGCGGUGAAAUGCAUAGAUAUCACGCAGAACUCCGAUUGCGAAGGCAGCAUACCGGCGCCCUACUGACGCUGAGGCACGAAAGCGUGGGUAUCGAACAGG
rnacentral:rRNA from 1 species